UCACAUCUAAGACUUCUCCUCUUGGCUUUUAGGUGACAAUAUCAGAGAGUUCUUGCUGAGCCUUAGGUAUUUCCGAAUCUUCAUUGCCUUGUGGAAUGUCUUCAUGAUGUUCUGCAUGAUUGUGUUAUUUGGAUCUUGAAAGUCAUCCACAAACAUGGCUGGUAACUUGGAAGAGACUUUUGGCUGCAAACAUAACUUUUCUAUCAAGUAAAAGAUUAUAAUGCUUUCCAAACACAGCCCUGGGAUUGUGACAGUUCUUCAGCACGAGCUCCGAGGGGCAGCACAGCACACAGCCCCCCCAGCCAGCUGUGUAAGGCUGUGGGUGUGUGGGGCUGCGUGCUGCAGGGCAGGGAGCCUUCCAGCCCCUGAGCCAAAGGCCUCAAAGUAAAAUUAAUUCAACUUCACCGGGAGGAAAAAAACAACCCACCCACCUUUACAGUGGGUUGCUCAGCAUUCUGUGCCCGAUGUGCAGCGGAUUGCAGCUGACUGACAGCCACAGCCGUGCAGCUCUGCCUCAUCGCUCACCCCACGUUCUGCUGCGUCUGCCGUCACCGCGCUGUGGGCCACAUGGAAGUCACACCUCAUUACUGUGACGCGGAGUGAAGAAUUGAUGUAACUUGGAAAAAAAAAAAAGGCAUUUUUCCCUCACAAUUCCAUUUUUCUUUGGAAAUGUAGAAAUAGGCAUCUCAAAAAAGGGUCCUCACUUCCUCACUUUUUCCCCCAACAAAUUCAUUUUUAGAUACAAAUUUGAAGAUAAGGGGUUUUUUCCUCAGCAAUCCGUAAGGGACUUUGAACAGGAAAACAUCUGUGAUGCCGAGGAGGUUUUGGGAUCAUUUUGGAUUCGGUUGAAUAAAAAAGUUCUAUUUAAG
rnacentral:lncRNA from 1 species